rnacentral:lncRNA from 1 species
AGCCCUGUCAGCUCAGAGGAGGACCUGGAUGUGACAGUGGAGGUGUGUAGGGCUGCUGACAGUAGGACUGUACCAGAGGAGCAGAAGCUGGAGACCAAACACGGGAGUAAGAUAGCUGUGUGUGUGUUUUGACACUCAACCAGAGUUUGAGCAGUAUUUCAGUUUGGAAGCCAUCAUAUUCACUGCUGGGUUAUUCAGGCAGUAGUAGAUGAGGACAGGUAAUAAACUGAUGUAGUGUUCAUUUCCCUAGAGUGUCAGCCUGUACAGGAGUCAGAUGAGAUUGACAUAAACCCCACUGUCAGUCAGCACGCACAAUUUCCAAUGGCCAGUGGUCUACCUGACCUGGCUGAUGUCUCCAGCAUCACGUGCUCACCCGCCCAGCACCAUGAGUGGUUGGGCCAGGAGAGACUGCAACCCAGCCCCCUGAACAGACGGCCUCCGCCCUGCUACAGCACCCCACGCAGCCCAGGUACCAACCAACGCCACCCAGCUACCAGAGUGUUACAUUUAAGCUUCAUUAUACGCAUACAUUUGCCAUCAGCAUUGUUUGCUACAAAGUGCAUCCUACCUGCUACAUGCAGAGGGGAAGAGCGUCUUUAUUCUAUUUUCCCCUACUAUACCGUAUUCAUUGAUUAUGCCUAAGUACAAUAGCUUUGGUCCAGUUUUUCGCAAGUACUCAUUAAAUUGUUGCUAGUGAUUGUACUAAAUGUUCCUCUAAUUACACAAGUUGCUAUUGUUUACAUAGUCAAUGUAGCUAGCUAGAGUUUCGCUAGCGAGUAGCUUUUAAUUCAUAAAUCGUAGUACAAUAUCCAGUGGUGUAUAGUCGAGGCCCUAUGCAACCAAAAUCAACUUUAUUUCAAACAUACAUUACCAGUCAGUUCACACACCUUGCAUUGGUUCCUUGAGUGUGCGUGUUUAACACCAGGAGCAGUACUUUUACAAGUUGAAUUGCAGCAAAAUGUCACUGGUAUACUUGUUUUGGGGUGGUGCAGCGACUGCGCCCAACUACAGAGCCAUGGGGGUCACUGGGGAGCCCAUCCCCCCUCUGCCCAGCCUGCUGGACACCUCCACCUGGGGCAGCACCCGCUCCCUGCCCCCCCACACCGAGAGCUUCGCCAUUGCCAGCCUGGGAGCCAGCACGACAGACCUCUCCAGACAGACCUCACCCUUGAUGAGAGACUCCUCCCUCGAGGAGACUGGGACGCACGUGGGCGUGUCAGAGUUCACCACAGCCAGCUCCGGAGAGAGACGGACCACAGUGACCAGCCAGGAGGGCGUGGGCUCUACCUACACCGUACCCACCACCAGCCAAGAAAGGGAGGAGGUGGAAGAGAGAGAGAGUUUAGAGAAGAAGAACAUGGAGUAUCUCGAAGGGGAGAGAGGGAUGUCGCUGGCUGCUGACAGGAAAGAAGAGUUGGAAAGGUCCGAUCAGGGUAGCUGUGCUGGUGUGGAUGUCGACCUGAUUGAUGAAGAUCCUCUGGAUGCUAGCUCCUCUGUUUUAGAGGGAGAAGAUGAACUUGUGUCAGAUGAGGAAGAGUUGCCUGGCGAAGAGGAGACAGACCAUGAGGAUGAAGAUGUGAUUAAUGAUCAAGUGCUAACUGACGAAGAGGUCUCUGUGGCCAGUACACAGCAGGCAGAGACAUCAGGAGCUCACCAUGGCAGCACACACAGUGAAGAUUACCUUUCAGGCUGUGGUCCAGACACAGAGGGAGCUGCAGCAUCUGUACAGCAGAGCCAGGCCAAAGGCCUGUCUGGGGGCCCAGACUCACUGGAGGAGACUGAUAGGUAGGCCUCACUAAACAUAGUGUAUUCAGAACCUUUGACACUUUCCACAUUUUGUUACCUUACAGCCUUAAUCUAAAAUGGAUUAAAUAAAAAAAAUCUCAAUCUAUACAGAAUACCCAGAAUGAAACAGGUUUUAAGAAAUGUUUGCAAAUGUAUUAAAAAUAAACAUACCUCAAAGUUGUGCUCAGGUGAAUCCUGUUUCCAUUGAUCAUCCUUGAUGUUUCUUCAAC